GAUUUAUGCAUGUUGUUAAUCAUGGUAAAUAUAGGUAAAAAAAUCCUUAAGCUGUGACAAAAAAUUAUUAUAGGACCAAUGAAUGGAUUGAGUUCUAGUAACAUUUAAAAAUAUCUAUAAUGAUGCUUAUAAACAUAGAAAAGCUAUAGAUAGACUACUUUUAACCAACAUUUGUAAAUAUUGCUAAUGAAGAUAAUGUGAUUCUUAAGUGCAUGACAGCCAGACAGAUAACAUAUUUAAGUGAUAUAAGUAAAUAUCACAAUAGAAUACUAAAGUGAUAUUUAAAAUCGUCAUCGAUCUAACCUGAAAAUUUAAAAAGUUAUUUCUUUUCUAAUGUUAUUUAUAAACAUCACAUAAAGUUCAAUAGUGAUAUUUAUGACAAACGUUAGAAAAUCUUAUGACCUACAACAACAUUUGUCACAAAUGUCGCUUACACUUAAAGCAACGGUGGCUUAAGUAACACUUCUGAUAAAUAUUGGUAAGAUAUUGCUUUCACUUUGUUGUGAUCUUUUUUUGAUUUUUUGUGAUAUUUAUUGAAAUGCCAUGACAACUUGUAUUUGUUGUUGAGGGCUUGAACUACCAUACGAGAACUACCAAGGAAAAAAUCAGCCUUUCUGCUUUAAAUUUAAACUUAAAAAAUCAACAUUGAGUAAUGGUAUUUUAUUUGAUAAAAAUUACAAAAAACUUGCAACCAAAAAGAAUAAAACAAUACUCAGGGAAAAAUGAAAAAAGGAAAGCAUAAAGGAAAAGGAACUUGCUAACCGAUUCUUGAGUGAGGUUCAAAGGAGCGCCGUAAACAGCAUGAAUUAAUUAUGAUGGACCCUUCUUUUGCUUUGUGGAACAUUUGAACUACGUAUACUUUAUAGAAUGAUGACUUCUAAAAUUUUAUCAACAAGUAUUUAGGAAUAAUAUUAUUUAUAUAAUCUGGAAAAGUAGAUUGACAUUUUGUAAGAUUUUUUGAAUCUUGAAAACAUUGAAGAAAAUAAAGUAUAUGCUAUUUUUGUUUUGCCUUUCAUAGGAUGCUCAAUAUUUUUUAUCUUGAUCUCAAAAGUGUUUCUCAAGGAGAAAAAUGGUGCCAAAUACUCUAAGCUUGGAGCUAGUACUAGUGUAGAUAGAUAUACAAUUGCAUGCAUUUGAUCUUUUAGAAGGUAAAGAAUGUUUUUGACCAGCUAGUAGCCUCAAACAAAUCUGGAAUUCAGGUGUAGGGUGACUCAUUGCCCCUGCCAGGCUUCAAGAAGCUUGGGGUUGGGGAUGCUGCACCAUCUCAGAGGUCCUUGUUGGACGAUGCUAGUGUAGCCCUAGACAAUGAUGGGAUAUGUGCUGGUUGAUGUUGAGUGGAUCUUGGCA
rnacentral:lncRNA from 1 species